rnacentral:rRNA from 1 species
UACGUAGGGGGCAAGCGUUGUCCGGAUUUAUUGGGCGUAAAGAGCGUGUAGGCGGCCUUGCAAGUCCGUUGUGAAAACUCGAGGCUCAACCUCGAGACGCCGGUGGAAACUGCAAAGCUAGAGUCCGGAAGAGGAGAGUGGAAUUCCUGGUGUAGCGGUGAAAUGCGCAGAUAUCGGGAGGAACACCAGUAGCGAAGGCGACACUCUGGGCCGGUACUGACGCUGAGGAGCGAAAGCGUGGGGAGCAAACAGG